rnacentral:lncRNA from 1 species
GCCUUAGUUUCUUGCAUUACUUAUUUUCAUCUCUUGCAUAGCAACUUAUAUGUUUUAUUCCUACUGCUACAUAUUGUAAUCACCACACAAUCAUUCAAGUUAGAAGCACAUACUUGUUAGACUUUUAAUUUGAUUAAAAUUUUCAAAAUAUCCAAUUCAUCCCCCCCUCUUGGGUAGCCAUACCUAGGCAACAAGUCUAAAUGGUCCUCUCUGA